GGUUUUAAUUCGAUGAUACGCGAGGAACCUUACCCGGGCUUGAAAUGCAUCUGACCGGCCUUGAAAGAGGCACUCCCUUCGGGGCAGAUGUGUAGGUGCUGCAUGGUUGUCGUCAGCUCGUGCCGUGAGGUGUCGGCUUAAGUGCCAUAACGAGCGCAACCCUCAUCAUUAGUUACCAUCAGGUAAGGCUGGGGACUCUAAUGAGACUGCCAUCGUAAGAUGUGAGGAAGGUGGGGAUGACGUCAAAUCAGCACGGCCCUUACGUCCGGGGCGACACACGUGUUACAAUGGGUGGUACAAAGGGCAGCUACCUGGCGACAGGAUGCUAAUCUCGAAAACCGCUCUCAGUUCGGAUCGGAGUCUGCAACUCGACUCCGUGAAGCUGGAUUCGCUAGUAAUCGCGCAUCAGCCAUGGCGCGGUGAAUACGUUCCCGGGCCUU
rnacentral:rRNA from 1 species